CAACUUUCCAUGAGUGACAAUAAAAUUCUCCGAGGAAAAAUCUCAGAUUUGGAAGAAAAACUGAAAAUCAAGGGAUGAUGAAAAGGAUCACCAUGACAAUGACCAUAUGAUGGAACUAGAGAGACAAAAAAGAUCUUUGGUACAGCAAGUGGCGAAUCUUAAAUUUCAGCUCAAGAAUUACGAAUCUUUGGACGAUCUGACGAAAAUGUUACAAGAGAGCCACAAGUCUCUGAUCUCAACCAAUGACCGACUUCUCGGCGAACUGGACGAGACCCGAAGCCGACAUCAGAGUGAAGUAGAGCAAUUGAAAUGGAGUUACGACCAACUACGGAAAACCAGUAUGCUGCUGAGUUCGACCAAUGGAACUACGAAUGGAAAGGACGUACCGUACACUAAUGGUUUCUGAUGGACCAGUUGUUGAUUUUUGCCAUUUUCCGAAAAAAUGUUUUGAUAACUGCUUUUAUGGACAUAAAACAUAAAAAUCGAUUUUUGCUGAAUGUUGGAAUUGGAACAAAAAAUCACUUUUUUCUUUCCUAAACUAUUCGACCUAA